rnacentral:lncRNA from 1 species
AUGCCGAAAGGAAAGAAGGGCAAGGGGAAGAAGUUGGCUCUGGCCCCUGCUGUCGUCAAGAAGCAGAGCCAAGAAAGUGGUGAAUCCGCUAUUUAAGAAAAGGCCUAAGAAUUUUGGCAUUGGACAGGACACCCAGCCCAAAAGAGACCUCACCUGCUUUGUGAAAUGGCCCUGCUAUAUCAGGUUGCAGCAGCAGAGAGCCAUCCUCUAUAUGCAGCUGAAAAUGCCUCCUGCGAUUAACCAGUUCAUCCAGGCCUUGCGCUGCCAAACAGCUACUCAGCUACUUAAGCUGGCCCACAAGUACAGAUCAGAGGCAAAGCAAGAGAAAGAAGCAGAGGCUAUUGGCCCAGGCUGAGAAGAAAGCUGCCAGCAAAGGGGAUGUCCCCAGUAAGAGACCACCUGUCUUUCAAGCAGGAGUCAGCACUUCACCACCUUGGUGGAGAACACGAAGACUCAGCUAGUGGUGAUUGCAUAUGACAUGGAUCCCAUCAAGCUGGUUGUCUUCCUACCUGCCCUGUGUCGUAAAAUGGGGGUCCCUUACUGCAUUAUCAAGGGGAAGUCAAGAGUGGGAUGUCUACUCCACAGAAAGACCUGCACCACUGGUUGCCUUCACACAGGUUAACUUGGAAGACAAAGGAGGUUUGUCUAAGCUGGUGGAAGCUAUCAGGAUCAAUUACAAUGACAGAUACGAUGAGAUCUGCCAUCACUGGGGAGGCAAUGUCCUGGGUCCCAAGUCUGUGACUCGCAUUGCCAAGCUCAAAAAGGCAAAGGCUAAAGAACUUGCCACC